rnacentral:lncRNA from 1 species
CAGGAAUUUUUAUAAGGUAAGGUACAACCCCACCAAGCUAUGAGAGGCUUUCCCUCUGACAAAGGGUUGUGCUGUUUAAUAUACAGGUAUCACAGAGGUUUGUUAAUAUUUGCCAUGUACCUUUUUAAUGGAAGUUUAAUGGAUUCCUAAUGGUAAGGAUGCAUUGGACCAUAAAAAGGAAUAUGUUUGCUUGCCCUAACUCUUAGCCUACCUACCCAGAAAAUAGCUGCCUAAUAAAAAUCUUUUUAUUGUCCUGAUUUGAAGAAGUUUCUUUUUUUAAUCAGAUAGGCAGGAAGACUAAUAAACAGCUGAUACUUCAAUUUCUUUUUUGUUGAAAAAAGGAAAUGUCUACCUACCCACUGUCUCAGCCAUUGAAUGUAGGGUUCGGGCAAACCAACAAAUUUUUAAGUGUGGCCUUUUAGCAAUGUUUAGUAAUACCUAGCACUUUAUUCCAGAAAUCCCAACCUUAGAUUUUCUUCAUUUCUAAAUUUGUUCUUUUUGCAAAAACUUUGGAACACAGGGAGGGGUUUUGUUACAAUUUGCUGGGUUUACUUUUUAUCUAUACAAUUUAAAAACCGAAAAAAAUUACAAGGGUAGAACCCCCUUAGCAACUGUGUUUCAAAUCAUUGUAUCAAUUUAAUACAAUGAUUUUAAACACAUAUAAGACUUUCACUUACAUGUACUUUGUUUCCACUUAAUUUGUCUCCUCAGUGGCGUAUCCAGAACUUUUCAAAAAGGGGGGGGAGGGUUAUCUGACUGACCAAAGGGAGCCCACUCCAGUCAUGCUUCAGCGAAUCCCUAUAAAAUCAACCAUUUUUUUUUUCUCAAGAAAUGGGAGGGCCCCUGGAUCCGCCUAUGCUUCUAUUUUAAAAUAUGUCUAUCACGGCACUAUGACAUGUAAACUGAAGUGUGAUUUUUGGGGGUUUCUUAUGUAUGAACCCGGCAAAUUGUAACAAACCCAUGUGGAGUACAUAGAGCUAUACUGAAUGGACAACUACCAUCCUAGACCAGGAUCAAAAGUGCUAACCGAGUGAUAAAAUACUUGAAAGACUCAAGAGAAUUGCCGUAGCCUACAUGUAGCCUGUCGGCAAAAUUCAUAGAAUUUCUUCUUUUUUCGCUUCAAAUAUACUCCUCAUAGUUACCAGGAUUGAAAUUUUGUGUUUGCAUCAGAUGCACGUUUCGUCAAAGUAAUUUUUAAACUUCAAUUUGGCGACAAUCCUAGUUGAAGGAGAUGAAGCGAUGAGAUGAUUCUCAUAAUUUCCGCCAUCGCCACUUUACCUCAUUACUCCUAACCUUCCGCAAAUAUUUUUUUCGACAAUCCUCGCUAAAUUGUGUAUCACGCAAGGGACUUUGCAGAGAAUACCGAAUGCUUGUCGGCCAUGAGGAAAUUUCCUCAUGGAGUCGGACAAUGUGUGGCAGAGGUCAUAUUAAGUGCAGUAUUGCAAAGCAUGUAUGGAACGGAUAUGAACUCUGCGCCGGAGAUUGACAGACAGACAGACAUAUUAAUUACAAAAGGAUAGACAUUAAACACUAAUAUGAGGCAGGCAUAACCUGUGAAUGGGGACGAAGUCUGUAUGUAUAUUUUUUUUACUUCAAACAUGUUAAUAAAAAAUACGGAAAUACCGUAACGUUCCCGAUUUUGGUUCUGUUGUUAGGGAUUUAGCUGUGACGUUCUUUAAGUUAUGACGUCAUAUUCAAUGUAAACAAAAGAAACCCUUCCAUCAGGUAACGUUUUUUUUUUAAAUCAAACAAUUAUCAUAUUAAAAUUUUAUUGAG